UACGUAGGGUGCAAGCGUUGUCCGGAAUUAUUGGGCGUAAAGAGCUCGUAGGCGGCUUGUCACGUCGGAUGUGAAAGCCCGGGGCUUAACCCCGGGUCUGCAUUCGAUACGGGCAGGCUAGAGUGUGGUAGGGGAGACUGGAAUUCCUGGUGUAGCGGUGAAAUGCGCAGAUAUCAGGAGGAACACCGAUGGCGAAGGCAGGUCUCUGGGCCACUACUGACGCUGAGAAGCGAAAGCAUGGGGAGCGAACAGG
rnacentral:rRNA from 1 species